rnacentral:rRNA from 1 species
AUACGGAGGGUGCAAGCGUUGUUCGGAAUCACUGGGCGUAGAGGGCGCGCAGGCGGUUUGGUAAGUCAGAUGUGAAAGCCCACGGCUCAACCGUGGAAGUGCAUUUGAAACUGCCAGACUUGAGUACCAGAGGGGAAAGUGGAAUUCCCGGUGUAGAGGUGAAAUUCGUAGAUAUCAGGAGGAAUACCGGUGGCGAAGGCGACUUUCUGGCUGGAUACUGACGCUGAGGCGCGAAAGCGUGGGGAGCAAACAGGAUUAGAUACCCUUGUAGUCC